rnacentral:rRNA from 1 species
GACGAACGCUGGCGGCGUGCCUAAUACAUGCAAGUCGAACGAGAGCGACCGGUGCUUGCACUGGUCAAUCUAGUGGCGAACGGGUGAGUAACACGUGGGUAACCUGCCCAUCAGAGGGGGAUAACAUCCGGAAACGGAUGCUAAAACCGCAUAGGUCUUCGAGCCGCAUGGCUUGAAGAGGAAAAGAGGCGCAAGCUUCUGCUUAUGGAUGGACCCGCGGUGCAUUAGCUAGUUGGUGAGGUAACGGCUCACCAAGGCCGUGAUGCAUAGCCGACCUGAGAGGGUGAUCGGCCAAAAUGGGACUGAGACACGGCCCAAACUCCUACGGGAGGGAGCAGUAGGGAAUCUUCCGAAAUGGACGCAAGUCUGACGGAGCAACGCCGCGUGAGUGAAGAAGGUUUUCGGAUCGUAAAACUCUGUUGUUAGAGAAGAACAAGUGCUAGAGUAACUGUUAGCGCCUUGACGGUAUCUAACCAGAAAGCCACGGCUAACUACGUG